rnacentral:rRNA from 1 species
AUUAAACGCUGGCGGCAUGCCUUACACAUGCAAGUCGAACGGCAGCACGGGGGCAACCCUGGUGGCGAGUAGCGGACGGGUGAGUAAUACAUCGGAACGUGCCCUGGAGUGGGGGAUAACGUAGCGAAAGUUACGCUAAUACCGCAUAUUCUGUGAGCAGGAAAGCAGGGGAUCGCAAGACCUUGCGCUCUGGGAGCGGCCGAUGUCGGAUUAGCUAGUUGGUGAGGUAAAGGCUCACCAAGGCGACGAUCUGUAGCGGGUCUGAGAGGAUGAUCCGCCACACUGGAACUGAGACACGGUCCAGACUCCUACGGGAGGCAGCAGUGGGGAAUUUUGGACAAUGGGCGCAAGCCUGAUCCAGCCAUGCCGCGUGAGUGAAGAAGG